rnacentral:rRNA from 1 species
GACGAACGCUGGCGGCGUGCCUAAUACAUGCAAGUAGAACGCACAGUUUAUACCGUAGCUUGCUACACCAUAGACUGUGAGUUGCGAACGGGUGAGUAACGCGUAGGUAACCUGCCUGGUAGCGGGGGAUAACUAUUGGAAACGAUAGCUAAUACCGCAUAAUAUUAAUUAUUGCAUGAUAAUUAAUUGAAAGGUGCAAUUGCACCACUACCAGAUGGACCUGCGUUGUAUUAGCUAGUAGGUGAGGUAACGGCUCACCUAGGCGACGAUACAUAGCCGACCUGAGAGGGUGAUCGGCCACACUGGGACUGAGACACGGCCCAGACUCCUACGGGAGGCAGCAGUAGGGAAUCUUCGGCAAUGGACGAAAGUCUGACCGAGCAACGCCGCGUGAGUGAAGAAGGGUUUCGGAUCGGAAAGCUCUGUUGUAAGAGAAGAACGGGUGUGAGAGUGGAAAGUUCACACUGUGACGGUAUCUUACCAGAAAGGGACGGCUAACUACGUG